AACGAACGCUGGCGGCAGGCCUAACACAUGCAAGUCGAACGAGAAGCCACCUUCGGGUGGUGGACAGUGGCAGACGGGUGAGUAACGCGUGGGAACGUGCCUUUCGGUUCGGGAUAACCCAGGGAAACUUGGGCUAAUACCGGAUACGCCCUUCGGGGGAAAGAUUCAUUGCCGAAAGAUCGGCCCGCGUCGGAUUAGCUUGUUGGUGGGGUAAAAGCCUACCAAGGCGACGAUCCGUAGCUGGUCUGAGAGGAUGACCAGCCACACUGGGACUGAGACACGGCCCAGACUCCUACGGGAGGCAGCAGUGGGGAAUAUUGGACAAUGGGCGAAAGCCUGAUCCAGCCAUGCCGCGUGGGUGAAGAAGGCCUUAGGGUUGUAAACCCCUUUCAGCGGGGAAGAU
rnacentral:rRNA from 1 species